CGGAGGGUGCGAGCGUUGUUCGGAAUCACUGGGCGUAAAGGGCGUGUAGGCGGUCCGCUAAGUCUGAUGUGAAAGCCCGGGGCUCACCCCCGGAAGGGCAUUGGAAACUGGCGGACUCGAGUCCCGGAGAGGAGAGUGGAAUUCCUGGUGUAGCGGUGAAAUGCGUAGAUAUCAGGAGGAACACCGGUGGCGAAGGCGGCUCUCUGGACGGUGACUGACGCUGAGACGCGAAAGCGUGGGGAGCAAACAGGAUU
rnacentral:rRNA from 1 species